AUUAGUCUGAUGAAUAUAUAUUUUUCUGACACCUCAAAUGAAUCAAUGUGAUUCCAACUGUUAUUAACAACUGAAAUU